GAUGAACGCUGGCGGCGUGCCUAAUACAUGCCAGUCGAGCGAACGGACGAGAAGCUUGCUUUUCUGAUGUUAGCGGCGGACGGGUGGGUAACACGUGGAUAACCUACCUAUAAGGCUGGGAUAACUUCGGGAAACCGGAGCUAAUACCGGAUAAUAUUUUGAACCGCAUGGUUCAAAAGUGAAAGACGGUCUUGCUGUCACUUAUAGAUGGAUCCGCGCUGCAUUAGCUAGUUGGUAAGGUAACGGCUUACCAAGGCAACGAUGCAUAGCCGACCUGAGAGGGUGAUCGGCCACACUGGAACUGAGACACGGUCCAGACUCCUUCGGGAGGCAGCAGUAGGGAAUCUUCCGCAAUGGGCGAAAGCCUGACGGAGCAACGCCGCGUGAGUGAUGAAGGUCUUCGGAUCGUAAAACUCUGUUAUUAGGGAAGAACAUAUGUGUAAGUAACUGUGCACAUCUUGACGGUACCUAAUCAGAAAGCCACGGCUAACUACGUG
rnacentral:rRNA from 1 species